CCCAUCGACGAUGAUGAGAUGGUACACUUCAUUCUUACUGGGUUAGAUUUUGAUUAUAACCCCUUUGUAUCUUCAGUUCUUGGUCGUGUUGGAUCAAUCUCCUUGAGUGAUUUGUACUCCGAGCUACUUUCCUAUGAUC